rnacentral:rRNA from 1 species
UACAGGGGGGUGCAAACGUUGCUCGGAAUCAUUGGGCGUAAAGCGCACGUAGGCGGUUCGUUAUGUCGGAUGUGAAAGCCCUUGGCUUAACCGAGGAAGUGCAUCCGAAACUGGCGAGCUAGAGUACGAAAGAGGAUCGCGGAAUUCCCGGUGUAGCGGUGAAAUGCGUAGAUAUCGGAAGGAACACCAGUGGCGAAAGCGGCUUCCUGGUCCAGCACCGAC